rnacentral:snoRNA from 1 species
GGCCGGUGAUGUGAUUAUAAAUAUUUGCUACUCUUGAUGGAUUAAUACCAUAUGACGAUCACUAACCACCAAGAUCUCUGAGGCC